ACGGGAGGCAGCAGUGGGGAAUAUUGGACAAUGGGCGCAAGCCUGAUCCAGCGACGCCGCGUGAGUGAAGAAGUAUUUCGGUAUGUAAAGCUCUAUCAGCAGGGAAGAUAAUGACGGUACCUGACUAAGAAGCCCCGGCUAACUACGUGCCAGCAGCCGCGGUAAUACGUAGGGGGCAAGCGUUAUCCGGAUUUACUGGUGUAAAGGGAGCGUAGACGGCAAGGCAAGUCUGAUGUGAAAACCCAAGGCUCAACCAUGGGACUGCAUUGGAAACUGUCUAGCUGGAGUGCAGGAGAGGUAAGUGGAAUUCCUAGUGUAGCGGUGAAAUGCGUAGAUAUUAGGAGGAACACCAGUGGCGAAGGCGGCUUACUGGGCUGUAACUGACGUUGAGGCUCGAAAGCGUGGGGAGCAAACAGGAUUAGAUACCCUGGUA
rnacentral:rRNA from 1 species